ACCUCAUUGAACCAAGGGGCCAUUGUGACAGUGUGGGGCCCCUGGAACCAAAUAUUCAUGGUGACACAGCAGGGCUGCUUGUGACCAAUUGUCCAUUUUGAUACUGCAGAUCCAAGAGACCAGGGUGACACUAUGGCAGUUCAUGGAAUCAAGGGGCUGUUGUGACACACCAAGGCCUUGUGGAACCAAGGACAGAAUUGUGGCAGUGCAGAACCAAGGCAACCAUUCUGACAGUACAGAACCCAAUGAAAACAAGGGUCCAUUGUUACACAGCAGGGCCUGAUGGAACCAAGCGGCCAUUGUGAAACUCUGGGGCAUAACAGAGUCAAGGACACCACUGAUACUGAAAUCCACAGGACAUAAACUUUUGAACACAGUUUUGAAUAUUUGAAAGCAGAUGGCUGUUCCUCAACUCCUGCUUUUGAGUAAGGGCAAUAUUGUUGUUUUGCAUAACUUCUGCUUUGUCGGCCUUGCAGAGCAGAGCUGGCAUCCUGCUUGUGUUUUGUGUGAGUAACAUCCUUUAUCUGCUUCUCCAAAGUUGUGCUGUUCUGUUCUACUCUCCUCAUCACAUCCCCCCUUUUCUUGAGACUCAGUUCCUUAUAUGGACUGGUCUCUCAAUAGUUCCAUUUUAUAGCGUAGGGCACUAUAGCACUGAAUUGUGAUGGAAGCAAAAUCCAUACAGCAAUUAUUGUGGUGACCAUUUUAAACAGAUGUUUUAACCAAACUCAGCUGGGUAGUCAGGAAAGAAGUUUGGUCCAGAUUUCUUCAAAUCCCCAGGACGUUUCAUCUUGAGCUGUCCAUUGAAAGAAUUUUUAAACUAUAAUACUCGGUCCCAAAGUCAGUUCUUGAUCUUCCUGGAUCAAUAAAAGAGCAGCUGCUACUGCCCUCAGACAGCCCAGAGAGCCCUGGCUGACAUUGUCUGGUUGCUGUGAAAAGUAGGCACAGCCCUGCUGCAGCCCCCAGGAACUGUGACAGCCCUCCCCGUGCUGGGUUUUGUCUCUCAUAGGGAAACAGAUCCAAUGGCUCCAUAGGGUCUGGGAGCCCCAAAGCAGGGCCCGCAUGAGGGCUCGCUGGAGCUGUGAAAAGGCAGCCCAUGCUACACCAGUCCAGACUAUAAAGUCCUGCUGAGCUGCCCUCAAGAGCUCUCACAGCGGCUUUACCAGCAGCCCAUAAUUGCUGAUGCACAGCUGACAUCAUUCCACUGCCCUGAGAAAUGCCUGCGACUCUCUCAUCGUUCAUGGCUGUGGGAGUUGGCAAAUUGCUUCCUUUCCUUCCUGUCCCAACCCCCUUUGUCCCUGGAGGAUUUUGAAUCCCAGGUAGGCUUCUGUGGUCUGGACUGUUUGUACUCUGUAUCCACUUAGUCCCAGAAAAUUCCACAAUGCCACAGUCUUAUCCCUGCAUUGCUGCUGAGUUUCAGUGGCCUCAGAAUGCCAUCUCCAGCCUGGAACAAGACUCCAAGAGGGUUCUGAUGCUUCCAUUCCUCCAGUUCUUUUGCCACUUGGUUUCCAUAUAAGGUGGGGGUAUUUUUAAACCCCUCUGGUAGAACUGGCCAAGUCAGUUGGGUUCUUCUCACUGUGUUUGGACUUCCCCAUUCAGAAGUAAAUAGUUCUUGACUUCACUACUCAAAGAGAUACAGAAAAAGCCACUUUCAAAUUCUAUACUGUGGACCAUUUUAAUUUUUCACUCCAGGUUGUUAGCAAGGAUUUGCUACUGACGUGUGUAUAUCUUCCAUUGUCUCAUUUAUGGCUCUAGGAUCCUGUACCAGCCACUAAUCCUCUCCAUUUGCCUUCUUAACUGGCAAAAUAAGGAUAUUACAUUUGGAUUAAUAUUCCUUCAACUGGUCUUAUUUUAGAAAACUUUCCACAAGGGAUAAUAACCCCCUAAGACUUUAUUUUUUCAAAGGGUAUUGUUUUUGCCUUACUGGUCCUGCUCAGAGUUUCAAUUUAUUUCUUACAGACGCUGCUUUUCUGGGUCACUGGUACACCUCUCCAGUCCAGACUACCAGAUUUACUGCAUCCUUAAGUGAUACAGAUGGCAGAUGGAUCACAUCUGAUUUUGAAGACUGCAGUGCAAAAAUAGAGGCUUCUACUCCAAGUUACAUUUUGGAGUAAUAACCUGCAUUUUGCCAUUAUAAUCUUGAUUUUAGCAUUCAGGUUUUCCAAUAAAUCCUCCAAGGAGAAGCUUUAGUAAAUUGAGUAGAUCCAUUGUUUUCCUAAUUUAAAAUCAAUGGGCCAGGAAAAUGGCUGAGUUUCAUGAUUCCCUGUUGCACCAAUGAUUGUUAUAGAAUCAUUACUCAAGCUUCCUUUGGUUGUAUUUAGCACAGAGCAACCAGCUUCUGUAGCCACUAAAAUUCUAACUCCUCAUUGACCUCCUCCCUCCCAGCUUAGCUGUGACCAGAGGUUCUGCUGGGAAAGAAUCCUCUGGUCCCCCUCAGUGGCCAUCGAUGAUAGCCACAAGAGGGGGGUUUUGUGUUGUAACUGCAGACAGUCCUUUUUCAAAUGCCUCUCUUUCUUACAAUGGGCACAUUGAUUAACACCAAGUCUCUUUUCUUUCUUCCUCUCCUAUUCUUUGAUGAGCCCUGAGGGAAAAGAUUGAAUUGUGGAAUAACUCACAUUGGAAGAGUGUCCUUUGCAACAGAGCCUUCAAUUGUACCAAAUGCGGCUUCACUUACAGCUGUUCUGAUUGGUUCUGAUAAUCCACCUAAUCAUGGUGCAUUUCUGGAAAGCCACCCCAAGAAUCUGGUGACAUCUGCUACACAAUACCAGUGCCUGCGAGCGCAGCCUCCAAACAGGGCUGCCUCAGGACACUGGUGCUCCUGCAGCCUUGUGCCAGGUUAACAGAUAAGAGAUUCAUCUGCACACCCAGACAGGGCACCAACAAUGGCAGCAGGAGAAACUCAGUUCAUUCUCUGCCCUGGCUGCUCCCAGGGCCAUCACUGGAGAGCUACCAGCUCAUUAGGAACCCAUCUCCAAAACUGAGAAGAGCUCAGAGGAACAGUGGCAAGUGACAAUCCAAAGUGCAGCUCCUGAGCAAUGGAUACCUUGUCCCAGCUCCUUCCCUGGGACAGCCAUCAGCCCCAGUGUCCAGGUUUGAAACCCCAAAGGCACUGAGAGCAGG